AUGAACGCUAGCUACAGGCUUAACACAUGCAAGUCGAGGGGCAGCAUGGUCUUAGCUUGCUAAGGCCGAUGGCGACCGGCGCACGGGUGAGUAACACGUAUCCAACCUGCCGUCUACUCUUGGACAGCCUUCUGAAAGGAAGAUUAAUACAAGAUGGCAUCAUGAGUCCGCAUGUUCACAUGAUUAAAGGUAUUCCGGUAGACGAUGGGGAUGCGUUCCAUUAGAUAGUAGGCGGGGUAACGGCCCACCUAGUCUUCGAUGGAUAGGGGUUCUGAGAGGAAGGUCCCCCACAUUGGAACUGAGACACGGUCCAAACUCCUACGGGAGGCAGCAGUGAGGAAUAUUGGUCAAUGGGCGAGAGCCUGAACCAGCCAAGUAGCGUGAAGGAUGACUGCCCUAUGGGUUGUAAACUUCUUUUAUAAAGGAAUAAAGUCGGGUAUGCAUACCCGUUUGCAUGUACUUUAUGAAUAAGGAUCGGCUAACUCCGUGCCAGCAGCCGCGGUAAUACGGAGGAUCCGAGCGUUAUCCGGAUUUAUUGGGUUUAAAGGGAGCGUAGAUGGAUGUUUAAGUCAGUUGUGAAAGUUUGCGGCUCAACCGUAAAAUUGCAGUUGAUACUGGAUAUCUUGAGUGCAGUUGAGGCAGGCGGAAUUCGUGGUGUAGCGGUGAAAUGCUUAGAUAUCACGAAGAACUCCGAUUGCGAAGGCAGCCUGCUAAGCUGCAACUGACAUUGAGGCUCGAAAGUGUGGGUAUCAAACAGGAUUAGAUACCCUGGUAGUCCACACAGUAAACGAUGAAUACUCGCUGUUUGCGAUAUACAGUAAGCGGCCAAGCGAAAGCAUUAAGUAUUCCACCUGGGGAGUACGCCGGCAACGGUGAAACUCAAAGGAAUUGACGGGGGCCCGCACAAGCGGAGGAACAUGUGGUUUAAUUCGAUGAUACGCGAGGAACCUUACCCGGGCUUAAAUUGCAGAUGAAUUACGGUGAAAGCCGUAAGCCGCAAGGCAUCUGUGAAGGUGCUGCAUGGUUGUCGUCAGCUCGUGCCGUGAGGUGUCGGCUUAAGUGCCAUAACGAGCGCAACCCUUGUUGUCAGUUACUAACAGGUUCUGCUGAGGACUCUGACAAGACUGCCAUCGUAAGAUGUGAGGAAGGUGGGGAUGACGUCAAAUCAGCACGGCCCUUACGUCCGGGGCUACACACGUGUUACAAUGGGGGGUACAGAGGGCCGCUACCACGCGAGUGGAUGCCAAUCCCCAAAACCUCUCUCAGUUCGGACUGGAGUCUGCAACCCGACUCCACGAAGCUGGAUUCGCUAGUAAUCGCGCAUCAGCCACGGCGCGGUGAAUACGUUCCCGGGCCUUGUACACACCGCCCGUCAAGCCAUGGGAGCCGGGGGUACCUGAAGUGCGUAACCGCGAGGAGCGCCCUAGGGUAAAACUGGUGACUGGGGCU
rnacentral:rRNA from 1 species